rnacentral:rRNA from 1 species
CGAACGGGUGAGUAAUGCGUGACCAACCUGCCCCAUGCUCCAGAAUAGCUCUUGGAAACGGGUGGUAAUGCUGGAUGCUCCAACUUGACGCAUGUCUUGUUGGGAAAGUGUUUAGUGGCAUGGGAUGGGGUCGCGUCCUAUCAGCUUGUAGGCGGGGUAAUGGCCCACCUAGGCUUCGACGGGUAGCCGGCCUGAGAGGGCGGACGGCCACAUUGGGACUGAUAUACGGCCCAGACUCCUACGGGAGGCAGCAGCC